GGUAUGGUGGCUUCGUGGUUAGAACAUUUGCCUCAUACCUCAAGGGUUUAGGGUUCGAAUCCCUCCCGAAUCC